GAUGGCAUAUUUAUUACGGAACUCGUAACAGAUUCAGGAUUGGCCUCCAUGAAAAAAAACACUGGGGUGGAUUGACCCAAAUUUACGGGUAAAAUGCCCCCAGUUUUCCCAGAGUGAUGUGAAGUACUGCAGAAAAUAUAAUGGAAAUGGCUAUCCACCUCCCUGCAGCCUCAAACCCCUCUCCCACUGCCUUGCCAGCAGCCUCCACCCCCUCUCUCACUGCCUUGCCAGCAGCCUCCACCCCCUUCCCCACACCCUCUCUCACUGCCUUGCCAGCCGCCUCCAUCCCCUUCCCCAACCCCUCUCCCACUGCCUUGCCAGCAGCCUCCACCCCUUCUCCCACUGCCUUGCCGGCAGCCUCUCCCACUGCCAUGCUGGCAGCCUCCACCCCCUCUCCCACUGC
rnacentral:lncRNA from 1 species